rnacentral:rRNA from 1 species
UACGGAGGGUGCAAGCAUUAAUCGGAUUUAUUGGGCGUAAAGGGCGCGUAGGCGGAUGUGCAAGUUAAGUGUGAAAUUCCGAAGCUCAACUUCGGAGCUGCACUUAAAACUGCUCAUCUUGAGGAUUGACGGAGAAAAUGGAAUUCCACGUGUAGCGGUGAAAUGCGUAGAUAUGUGGAAGAACACCAGUGGCGAAAGCGAUUUUCUAGUUUAUACCUGACGCUGAGGCGCGAGAGCAAGGGGAGCAAACAGG